rnacentral:rRNA from 1 species
UACGUAGGGGGCGAGCGUUGUCCGGAGUUAUUGGGCGUAAAGCGCUUGUAGGCGGUCCACCAAGUUUGGGGUGACAGUUGCCGACUUAAUCGGCAAAGUGCCUCAAAGACUGGCGGACUUGAGGGCCACAGAGGGACAUGGAACUCCAGGUGUAGUGGUGAAAUGCGUAGAUAUCUGGAAGAACACCAAAGGCGAAGGCAGUGUCCUGGGUGGUCGCUGACGCUGAGAGGCGAAAGCCAGGGGAGCGAACGGG